GACAUGGUGGCCAAGUGGUAAAGCAGCGGUCUUGUAAACCGAGGAUCAUGGGCUCGACCCCCAUCCGUGCCU